UACGUAGGGUGCGAGCGUUAAUCGGAAUUACUGGGCGUAAAGUGUGCGCAGGCGGCGUCGCAAGUCGAGUGUGAAAUCCCCGGGCUUAACUUGGGAAUUGCGCUCGAAACUACGGUGCUCGAGUAUGGGAGAGGGAAGUGGAAUUUCCGGUGUAGCGGUGAAAUGCGUAGAUAUCGGAAGGAACAUCAGUGGCGAAGGCGACUUCCUGGACCAAUACUGACACUGAGGAGCGAAAGCCAGGGGAGCAAACGGG
rnacentral:rRNA from 1 species